UACGGAGGGGGCUAGCGUUGUUCGGAAUUACUGGGCGUAAAGCGCACGUAGGCGGCUUGUUAAGUCAGGGGUGAAAUCCUGGAGCUCAACUCCAGAACUGCCUUCGAUACUGGAGAGCUUGAGUCCGGGAGAGGUGAGUGGAACUGCGAGUGUAGAGGUGAAAUUCGUAGAUAUUCGCAAGAACACCAGUGGCGAAGGCGGCUCACUGGCCCGGUACUGACGCUGAGGUGCGAAAGCGUGGGGAGCAAACAGGG
rnacentral:rRNA from 1 species